UCAUUUUCUCAUAGAAAACGAACAAUAAUCAUACCAAUGGAAAACUUGAACAAAUAUUAUGUAAAAGAACUAGAUAUCUUUUUAAUGCAACCAGGUAUGCUAUAUAAUUGUAACUGAGCAUUAAGUAUCCACUAAUGUGCAAGAAUUAUAGUUUUGAAUGUAAUGUUUCCAUGAAAUUUACAAUCAAGUAUUCAGCAAAGUUGUACAAAUAAUUAAAGAAUAUACUUAUCUGUGCCUCUGAAUGAUUGAGUCAUGUGCUAUUUAAUCUAUCUGCUCUCUUUAGCUAAUCAUUAGCAAUAAAGUUGAUUAUGUAGGAUCAUACUGCAAGAUUAUAUACACCGUAAAGAUUAUCCAUUCUUUGUAUUGGAUUAGUUUUAUAUGAUUGAAAAUCUUCUGUUCAGUUAUAGUGUGGUUUUAUUCUUAGUUUAUUGGACUUUUGUGUAGUAUGACACAAAAAUCAUCAUUACAAUGUGCCCAUUAUCAUUUUAUAGUAACAUUUGUGAUAUUUCUGUUGUCAAAAACCACUGCAGGUUUGUCACCAUUGUUUUCUUAUGUACAAAUGUAAAAAUAUAAAUUUUUGGCGCUUAUUCUGUUAAAGUAUGAAUAUAUUCUUCAUUAAAUGUACACAAAGGUAUGUUGUGCAGACAAGAGGAACUGGGGGUAAAGAUAACAAUUAAUUGCACCUCCAAAAUAGCUCCAUACUGCUGUGUACUGAAUGGCCGAAUGUCAUGCUGUUCUGAUGACCAGUAUAAUGCUGAGAAAAAUGGCCCUGGGAUGUUUAUUACAAUAUCGAUGGCUGUCUUCGUGGCUCUGCUGGUGUUAGGGGUGGCAACUUGGUGUUGGUUCAACCACAAGAAGCGAUUCAAGAAAACAAUCCAAAAUAAAGAAAAAAAUAAUAAUGUAAAUAUUUUAAGAUUUUAAUUGAAGAAUUUUAUAAAGAGCCAAAUAUGCACUUUUUUAUAUUACAAUACAAUAACAAGGAAUAUUUUCAAAAAGUAAGGAACAUCAACGCAAUAACGUAAAAAAUUAUUGUUUUUAUUCAAGCUUUUUAAUUUUAUAUAUCCUUACUUUUCAAAUGUAUUCAAUUAGCUUUUAGACUGAUAUAUUGUAUACCUUUUCACAUAUGCAAUACUAACACACUUAUUACAAAAAGGAAUAAUUUAUAAAUCAAGCUGUACAAGCUAGAAGAUAUAUUUGUACAUGUUGAAAAUGAGUUCACUAUAGUUUUUAUAGAAAAGCAAGUAAUAAAUUAGCAUUUACCAGCAAUGAUAAGUUCAUUGAAUUGGAUGCACAGUUAAUAUUAUAGUUGCUAACAGAAAUAAAAUUAGAUCAGUAUGUAACCCAACAUAAACACAUACUAAAAAUUAUUGGAAACUACAGAGGAGAGAAUAAAUUGUGCUGAAUCUUUGUUAUAUGAAUGAUUUAUUUCUAUUUUAUCAACAAAAGACAUAAGGUGUCUUUAUAAAUAAAACGUAACAAAACAUAAUUCUAUUUGUUUCACUAAAAAAGGGACAAAUUAUGAAAAAAACUGGAAAAAAACUUACACUGUAGAAAACGUACAGCGAUUUAAAUGCUAUUACAUUCUGAUAAUACUAAGCAAGACAGAACAACCAGAUUUAACUGAAACUAAAAACCAAGAAAACUUAAAUAAUUAUAUGAAAUGUAUAAAAGUGAUAUUGUAUAUAAAUCAACAAUCAACAUUACAAGAAAAUUAAAUACAAAUCAAAACGUGAUUAUAAAUUCGCCAAACGUCACGUUGCACUCCGUGUUUUGUGUAACAUUCAGUAUCAACAAUUUGUAACAAUAGGAGUCAAAUAAUAUAAUAAUAAUUACGAUAUCAUCAUCGCAUUAUGUCUGGUAUUGUACAGAAAGUUGACAAACAAAUGCAGUCUACCUGAAGUAUCGAAGAAAAUAAACAGUGUACAACAAUUCCAAUUUUAAACCUAUCCAGUUUCUAAGCUUAAAAUUUUCAAAAAUGAACAUUUGAUAAAUCUUUAAAAAUUGAACAAUUCAGGCUUUACAGGAUAAACUGUUGGCAGACAGAACACUGACUUUACAAUAACGCUCUAGUUAUAUUCGGUUGAACACAAGUAGGCAAACAGACAUUAGAGUAGUUAUAGACAAAGAGAUAGUUUCUAUAGAGUAUUCUCUAUGGUUCAUCAAGGUAGUGUCAUUUGAUUAGGGUAGAAGAAGCUGUUGACCUGAAUGAAGCAAACUAUUUCUGAACAACCUGUCCAAACAGAUCUGCUAAGAGACUAAAAAGAUUAAAGUAAUUUACUAACAUUCUACGUCAACGAACAAGGGUUCCCUGAUAUUGGUUUAUAUACAUUACAACAGGUUCUUCAGAAAUAAUUAUUAAAGUAAAGGGUUCCUGAUAAAAACAUAUACUCUCCUUGACAAUGCUCUGUUUAUUUAAAUGUUCAAAAUGUGAAAUCUAUUUAUCAUGUACUAACUUAAUAGUUUAAAUAAACGUAAAUUAAACCCCUGCA